GACGAACGCUGGCGGCGUGCUUAACACAUGCAAGUCGAACGGAAAGGCCCUGCCUUUGUGGGGUGCUCGAGUGGCGAACGGGUGAGUAACACGUGAGUAACCUGCCCUUGACUUUGGGAUAACUUCAGGAAACUGGGGCUAAUACCGGAUAGGAGCUCCUGCUGCAUGGUGGGGGUUGGAAAGUUUCGGCGGUUGGGGAUGGACUCGCGGCUUAUCAGCUUGUUGGUGGGGUAGUGGCUUACCAAGGCUUUGACGGGUAGCCGGCCUGAGAGGGUGACCGGCCACAUUGGGACUGAGAUACGGCCCAGACUUCUACGGGAGGCAGCAGUGGGGAAUAUUGCACAAUGGGCGGAAGCCUGAUGCAGCAACGCCGCGUGCGGGAUGACGGCCUUCGGGUUGUAAACCGCUUUCGCCUGUGACGAAGCGUGAGUGACGGUAAUGGGUAAAGAAGCACCGGCUAACUACGU
rnacentral:rRNA from 1 species